rnacentral:lncRNA from 1 species
GGGAGGAGGCUGUGGUCAGGGUCUGAGGGACGAAGGUUGGAAGGCAAAUGCCGGGAGGCUCGGAGAGGCUGACCUGCACUCAGUGUGAGAAGAGGCAGGGAGGGGCCUAGAUAAUGAUACCCCAGGAGCAGCUGCCCCUGGGCUGCGGUGUCACAAAGACAGAAGUCACAAUGCAGAAACAGUGUCUCACGGGUGCAUUUGGCAAAGCCUGAGGAAGUGUCACCGGUCAUCUGCUCAGCGAGCGGGACACCUGAAAGCCCAGCUGGGGCAGCCUGCAGGGCGCCUUCACCCACUGCUGCUGCUCAGAGACAAUCAGGAUUGCCCUGGGACCAUCUCCCACUGUCCCACCAAGUGCAGCGGGACCUGGAGCUGGGCACAGGGGCCUUAGGAAUGGACAGGUGGUCUCCAGGAGCUUGGGGCGACAGUGCGGUGCUGAGCAGGGCUGAAAUAAUGCUGCCCCAUCUCUGAGGACCCCAUGCUGAUGGGUACAAUGACCCUGGAUGAGGAAUAACAGGUGCCCUUGGGGAGCGCCAGGGAGCUGCCCCUGGUGUGGAGAGAGGACAGAGUGUCUUAGUCCUGGCUGCUCUCGCUGGAGGGAUCCAGUCCACUAGCCCAGGCUAAGGGGAAGGGCUGAGGGAGCCCCGGGCUCUGGUCCCUUGGGCUGGCCUGGCCUGGCCUGGCCUGGUCGGGCCCCACGGGGAGGGCUGCACUGCUCCCUGACUCUUCACACUGCCCAGAAGGGCCCUUUGCCCAAGAGUAUCAGCUGUGUGACUGCAGCAGAGGGUGGCCAGAGGUCUGGCCAGGCUGGGGCCACCUGAGAACUGAGGCUCUUGCCCCCUCCCCCACCCCUGGGCCGGCCUCCGGAAGGGAGGGCUGGAGAGAGUAGGCUGGAGGGCUGCUCCAAGAGCUCUUGAAACCUAGAGCAAGGGUCAGGCUCAGGAGUCAGAAGUGAGUCAUUCCAAACCAGGAGGCCUAGGGUAUCCCAGGCUGAAUCAAGCGCUCCUGAUGGCUGUUGCGGUGCUGGCCGUUCCCCUGCGUGGCCUGAUAGA